rnacentral:rRNA from 1 species
CAAUUUGAAAUCUGGCGGCAUCCUGUCGUCCGAGUUGUAAUCUAUAGAAGUGUUUUCCGCGUCGGACCAUGUACAAGUCCCUUGGAACAGGGCGUCAUAGAGGGUGAGAAUCCCGUCCUUGACAUGAUCUCCGGUGCUAUGUGAUACACUUUCAACGAGUCGAGUUGUUUGGGAAUGCAGCUCAAAAUGGGUGGUGAAUUCCAUCUAAAGCUAAAUAUUGGCGAGAGACCGAUAGCGAACAAGUACCGUGAGGGAAAGAUGAAAAGCACUUUGGAAAGAGAGUUAAACAGUACGUGAAAUUGUUGAAAGGGAAACGAUUGAAGUCAGUCAUGCUCUUUGGGUUAAGCCUUUCGGGGUGUAUUCCAUUGAGUGGGGUCAACAUCAGUUUUGACCGCUGGAAAAAGGCACGAGGAAGGUAGCACUCUCGGGUGAACUUAUAGCCUCGCGUCAUAUACAGUGGUUGGGACUGAGGAACGCAGCAUGCCUUAUGGCCGGGAUUCGUCCACGUACAUGCUUAGGAUGUUGACAUAAUGGCUUUAAACGACCCGUCUUG